UACGUAGGGUGCGAGCGUUGUCCGGAAUUAUUGGGCGUAAAGGGCUCGUAGGCGGUUUGGCACGUCAGGAGUGAAAACUCGGGGCUUAACCCCGAGCCUGCUUCUGAUACGGGCAGACUAGAGGUAUGCAGGGGAGAACGGAAUUCCUGGUGUAGCGGUGAAAUGCGCAGAUAUCAGGAGGAACACCGGUGGCGAAGGCGGUUCUCUGGGCAUUACCUGACGCUGAGGAGCGAAAGUGUGGGGAGCGAACAGG
rnacentral:rRNA from 1 species